AUGGCCGCCUCCCGCCGCCUGGCGCGGAAGCUCCCCUCCAUCAUCUCCAAACACCAGCGCCUCAUCUCGCCGGAGAUCGAAAUCCUAGAGGAGACCCCCGAAAUCUCCACCUCGCCCGCCUCCAUCCCCCUCGACCCCUCCCUGCCGCUCCUCCCGCUCGCCGUCUCCCACCUCUCGCCGCCGAGCCCCCUCCCGGCUCUCCCCGCCGCGCACGCCUCCUCCCCCGCGGCGCUCCUCCGCCUCCUGCGCCGCGCGCGGCACCACCCGCGCCUCGCGCCGCUCGACCUCCACCUCCUCCUCGCGGCCGCCGACGCCUCCUCGGCCUUCCGCCCCGACCACCGCCUCACCGGCCUCCUCGCCGUGCGCCUCGCGGCCUCCCGCCGCCUCCCCUCGCUGCGGCGCCUCCUCCAGCUCGUCCUCUCCCGGCCCUGCCCCUGCGCCGACGACUCCAUCUUCGCCUGCCCCGACCUCCUCCCCACCUUCCGCAAGGCCAUCCUCGCCUUCGCCUCCUCCGGCGACAUCCCUGCGGCGUCCGAAGCCCUCGCGUCCCUCCGCCGCGCCGCGGACUCGCCCCUCCCCGCCGAGUUUUACAACAUCAUCCUCCACGCCCUGGCCCGUCUCCACCGCCACGACGACGCCAUCCGCUUCUAUGGCGAGAUGACCAACGUCCACCGCCUCUCCCCUGAUGCCUACACCUUCAACAUACUCAUCAACAGCUCCUGCCGUGUCGAAGGCGUCGAUGCCGCCAUGCGGUGGUUCGAGGAGAUGCAGCGCCGGAGCUGUGCGCCGACUGGUGUGAGCUUCAAUACUCUUAUGCGCGGGUUCUUCAGAGAAGGAAGGUACAAGGAAGGCCUUAAGGUUGCUCACGAGAUGCUGCAGCUUGGAGCCGGGCUGUCGGUUGCUUCCAUGGAGAUUUUGAUAGGUGGGUUGUGCGGUGGAGGCGACGCUUUGAAGGCAUCAGAGGUGUUUGCAGAGUUUUUGGUGGAUGCGGUGGUGCCGGAAGGGUUUGAUUGCUUGGAUCUGGUUGAAUCCCUAUGCCAUGUUGGAAGGGUGGACAAAGCAGUGGAAAUAGUGGAGAUGGUAUUGGAGAGGAACGGGGUAUGCUGCUUAAGUGUCCCUGCUGGCAUAACAGUUCUGGAUUGCUUGAUGAAGGCGGGGAAGCUGGAUGAUGUGUGCCGAUUGAUGGGAAGGAUGGUUGGGGAGGGGAUUGUACCAGAUACCAUAUCUUGUAACUGUAUCUUCGAGGCACUUUGUGAAGCUGGCGGACUUCUGAUGCAAACAAGCUGA
rnacentral:rRNA from 1 species